rnacentral:rRNA from 1 species
UACGGAGGGUGCGAGCGUUGUCCGGAAUCACUGGGCGUAAAGGGCGCGUAGGCGGCGCAACAAGUCACUUGUGAAAUCUCCGGGCUUAACCCGGAGCGGCCAAGUGAUACUGUCGUGCUAGAGUGCGGAAGGGGCUACUGGAAUUCUCGGUGUAGCGGUGAAAUGCGUAGAUAUGCGGAGGAACACCGAUGGCGAAGGCAAUCCCCUGGGCCUGCACUGACGCUCAUGCACGAAAGCGUGGGGAGCAAACAGG